CUUAACACAUGCAAGUCGAACGGAAAGGCCUUGCUUUUGUGGGGUGCUCGAGUGGCGAACGGGUGAGUAACACGUGAGUAACCUGCCCUUGAUUUUGGGAUAACUUCAGGAAACUGGGGCUAAUACCGGAUAGGAGCUCCUGCUGCAUGGUGGGGGUUGGAAAGUUUCGGCGGUUGGGGAUGGACUCGCGGCUUAUCAGCUUGUUGGUGGGGUAGUGGCUUACCAAGGCUUUGACGGGUAGCCGGCCUGAGAGGGUGACCGGCCACAUUGGGACUGAGAUACGGCCCAGACUCCUACGGGAGGCAGCAGUGGGGAAUAUUGCACAAUGGGCGGAAGCCUGAUGCAGCAACGCCGCGUGCGGGAUGACGGCCUUCGGGUUGUAAACCGCUUUCGCCUGUGACGAAGCGUGAGUGACGGUAAUGGGUAAAGAAGCACCGGCUAACUACGUGCCAGCAGCCGCGGUGAUACGUAGGGUGCGAGCGUUGUCCGGAUUUAUUGGGCGUAAAGGGCUCGUAGGUGGUUGAUCGCGUCGGAAGUGUAAUCUUGGGGCUUAACCCUGAGCGUGCUUUCGAUACGGGUUGACUUGAGGAAGGUAGGGGAGAAUGGAAUUCCUGGUGGAGCGGUGGAAUGCGCAGAUAUCAGGAGGAACACCAGUGGCGAAGGCGGUUCUCUGGGCCUUUCCUGACGCUGAGGAGCGAAAGCGUGGGGAGCGAACAGGCUUAGAUACCCUGGUAGUCCACGCUGUAAACGGUGGGUACUAGGUGUGGGGUCCAUUCCACGGGUUCCGUGCCGUAGCUAACGCUUUAAGUACCCCGCCUGGGGAGUACGGCCGCAAGGCUAAAACUCAAAGGAAUUGACGGGGCCCCGCACAAGCGGCGGAGCAUGCGGAUUAAUUCGAUGCAACGCGUAGAACCUUACCUGGGUUUGACAUGGAUCGGGAGUGCUCAGAGAUGGGUGUGCCUCUUUUGGGGUCGGUUCACAGGUGGUGCAUGGCUGUCGUCAGCUCGUGUCGUGAGAUGUUGGGUUAAGUCCCGCAACGAGCGCAACCCUUGUUCACUGUUGCCAGCACGUUAUGGUGGGGACUCAGUGGAGACCGCCGGGGUCAACUCGGAGGAAGGUGGGGAUGACGUCAAGUCAUCAUGCCCCUUAUGUCCAGGGCUUCACGCAUGCUACAAUGGCUGGUACAGAGAGUGGCGAGCCUGUGAGGGUGAGCGAAUCUCGGAAAGCCGGUCUCAGUUCGGAUUGGGGUCUGCAACUCGACCUCAUGAAGUCGGAGUCGCUAGUAAUCGCAGAUCAGCAACGCUGCGGUGAAUACGUUCCCGGGGCUUGUACACACCGCCCGUCAAGUCAUGAAAGUUGGUAACACCCGAAGCCGGUGGCCUAACCGUUGUGGGGGAGCCGUCGAAGGUGGGACUGGUGAUUAGGACUAA
rnacentral:rRNA from 1 species